AUGAAGCUCGAUUCGUUCUCGUUGCCCCUUGUCGUGGACACGCUCGGCUCAUGCUUCUUGGAUUACUUCUUCCUCCCGGCCUCUGGUACCCGGGACGGCAUCCUUCUUGCUUGGAACCGUAACGAGAUUUCUAUCUCCAGCCCCUACAUCGGUCAGCACCACAUCACGACCCUCGUUUCUACCACUUCAGGCGCGCACCCCUGGUGGAUCACCGGGGUCUAUGGCCCGCAGGACGAUGAUGAGAAGAUCUUGUUCCUCGAGGACUUGCAAGAUACCCACGACUCUUGCGCUGGCCCCUGGCUCCUCGACGGU
rnacentral:rRNA from 1 species